rnacentral:ncRNA from 16 species
AACAUCUGGAGAGUGGCGCGCGGUACGGCGCCCACCGAAGGGGAUCCCUGGCGCGUUUGCAGCGGCGCACGGGUGAAGCUCUCAGGUAAAUGGACAGAUGGGGUUGC